CUCCGGUUGAUCCCGCGGGACCCGACUGCUAUCAGAGUGGGACUAAGCCAUGCGAGUCAACAUAGCAAUAUGUGGCAUACGGCUCAGUAACACGUAGUCAACAUGCCCAGGGGACGUGGAUAACCUCGGGAAACUGAGGAUAAACCGCGAUAAGUCACUACUUCUGGAAUGGGUAAUGACUCAAAUCUACAUGGCCCCUGGAUUGGACUGCGGCCGAUCAGGCUGUUGGUGAGGUAAUGGCCCACCAAACCUGUAACCGGUACGGGCUCUGAGAGGAGGAGCCCGGAGAUGGGCACUGAGACAAGGGCCCAGGCCCUAUGGGGCGCAGCAGGCGCGAAACCUCUGCAAUAGGCGAAAGCCUGACAGGGUUACUCUGAGUGAUUUCCGUUAAGGAGAUCUUUUGGCACCUCUAAAAAUGGUGCAGAAUAAGGGGUGGGCAAGUCUGGUGUCAGCCGCCGCGGUAAUACCAGCACCCCGAGUGGUCGGGACGUUUAUUGGGCCUAAAGCAUCCGUAGCCGGUUCUACAAGUCUUCCGUUAAAUCCACCUGCUUAACAGAUGGGCUGCGGAAGAUACUAUAGAGCUAGGAGGCGGGAGAGGCAAGCGGUACUCGAUGGGUAGGGGUAAAAUCCGUUGAUCCAUUGAAGACCACCAGUGGCGAAGGCGGCUUGCCAGAACGCGCUCGACGGUGAGGGAUGAAAGCUGGGGGAGCAAACCGGAUUAGAUACCCGGGUAGUCCCAGCUGUAAACGAUGCAGACUCGGUGAUGAGUUGGCUUCUUGCCAACUCAGUGCCGCAGGGAAGCCGUUAAGUUUGCCGCCUGGGGAGUACGGUCGCAAGACUGAAACUUAAAGGAAUAGGCGGGGGAAGCA
rnacentral:rRNA from 1 species